GAUGAACGCUGGCGGCGUGCCUAAUACAUGCAAGUCGAGCGAACAGACGAGGAGCUUGCUCCUCUGACGUUAGCGGCGGACGGGUGAGUAACACGUGGAUAACCUACCUAUAAGACUGGGAUAACUUCGGGAAACCGGAGCUAAUACCGGAUAAUAUAUUGAACCGCAUGGUUCAAUAGUGAAAGACGGUUUUGCUGUCACUUAUAGAUGGAUCCGCGCCGCAUUAGCUAGUUGGUAAGGUAACGGCUUACCAAGGCAACGAUGCGUAGCCGACCUGAGAGGGUGAUCGGCCACACUGGAACUGAGACACGGUCCAGACUCCUACGGGAGGCAGCAGUAGGGAAUCUUCCGCAAUGGGCGAAAGCCCGACGGAGCAACGCCGCGUGAGUGAUGAAGGUCUUCGGAUCGUAAAACUCUGUCAUUAGGGAAGAACAAAUGUGUAAGUAACUAUGCACGUCUUGACGGUACCUAAUCAGAAAGCCACGGCUAACUACGUG
rnacentral:rRNA from 1 species